AAUCAUCAUGAGGUAUCGACGUUAUAAUUAAUUAAAAAUGAAAUUAUUGAACAAUAUUACCUAUCCUUGACAACGAAACUUCAAAUUAGUGUUUGAGUGGUCGUCGACGAACAAUGUCGUUAUGAGUAAAUAGGGAUUUACUACCACUAGCACAGGACCUACGUUUACUACACUAUUCCAUUGGGAUAUUGCGAGAGCAACAACAAGAACAAUUUACAAAAUGUGUGUUUUUUACGUUUCUUUGCACACAGAAAACAAUAAUACGAUUUUAACAUUGAUAUCCUAGUUAUGGAGUUUUAACAUUUAGAAUGAUCUCAAUGUUAAAACCUAGUUCUAUAAUAAAUCUAUGAAGAUUGAGAUCUGGCAUUUUUUCUAAUUCGAUUGGACGGACGAAUAGUCCACUAAAUAUGGGGAUUAAGCGGUUGACGAGGCCAAAAGUUGAAGCAUCGAAGGAAAGUGAUUGUAUUGCAACUGCAUGGAUACUAAAGAGUCGAUGCACAUUCUUCACUGUCGGCAAUUCACUAGUACACAUGUUAACGUGAAUGUUCAACGAGCGUGGAAAUCUGGAAAACCACGAACUAAAACAAACAACAUUCCUUCUGUUCACGACUUGUUGUUAUGUAACGUCAUUCUGUAUUACUUAUUUAACAUUUUUUUUAAUUUAAAAUUUAGCCGACUCGAUGGGCAAAAUGAUAUUCAUUAUUUUUCUGCAUAAUUUAACCAGCAAACACAAAAUGAUCAAAUAAAACAAAUUACAGUAUAAAAAUAGAUUUAUUAUAACGUAAAUAGACACAAAUAUCUCAAACGCCUCAAAGUACCUAUUCUAGAUUCGAGAAAUAAUAUAAAAGAAAAAUAAUUAAAACAGAGCUUACAAAAUUCCAUGUAUGGUGUCUUUCCGCUAUCGGAAAACUCCGGACUAUGAAUACAUUGAAAACUUUACAAAUUGGAUAGAUAUAAACAAGAACGGGUAGGGCAUACAAAGAACAAAUCUAACCUUUAUUUCAAAUUCUCCUUCUGCUUAUAAAUAUACUAUAACAGAUUAAUAGCAAUUUCAGAAAACCACAAAUUAACAGCGCUACUUCAUAGUAAUUACAUAACUUAAACAUAUUUUCUUAAUCCACUGUUUAAUACCUUAAUUACUUUAAUGUCUAAUUCUUUAUUUUAACCAGUAACAUUGUCGUUAUUGUUCCAUUAACUUUAGUUUGUUUUACAUGAGUUAAAUCACGUGCUCAUCAAUUAUCAAUUAAUUGAUCUAUAAAAUAGCGUUUCAAUGUAAUGCAAUUUGGGAUUGGAACAUUUGAUUACGCGAUUAGUCCUACGUGACAUUGCUUUAAGACUGAACUGCCGAAAUAAAUGAAAAGCAACGAAUAAUAACAAAAUAUAUUU